CAUGUAGGCGGCAUAACAAGUCUGGUGUGAAAUAUCUCGGCUCAACCGAGGGAACGCACUGGAAACUGUUAAGCUUGAGUAUCGGAGGGGAAGCUAGAAUUCCUGGUGUAGGGGUGAAAUCUGUAGAUAUCAGGAAGAAUACCGGUGACGAAGGCGAGCUUCUGGCCAGAUACUGACGCUGAGAUGCGAAAGCGUGGGGAGCGAACAGGAUUAGAUACCCUGGUAGUCC
rnacentral:rRNA from 1 species